UUUCCAGCCUGUCCUUGGUGUCUGUCCUUCCAGUACCAUAUGAACGGAAAAGAUAUAGGCACUUUGAGAGUACUUGCAGGAGAUAAAACAUCUUCUUUGAGUAGCAUAUGGGAAAAAACAGGACAGCAACCUAAUCCUGACUCUUGGAAAACUGCUACCAUAUCUAUCCCACUAUAUAGUAAUCUUGGUGUAUGUAUACUACGACUCAUUUAUAAACAAUGUAUGAAAAAUAAGAGUUAAGGAUGUACUUAUGUGAGGUUUUAGAAAUUGUGUCAAAUGUUCAGACUCCAUGUUUUUUUUUCAUACAAUACAAUGUAAAAUAUUUUACCCUUUCACACCCAGUUAUCUUUAUAUAUAAGACUUAAAAGGUCAUAAAGGGUCAUUUGCUUAAAUUGAAGCAGAUUUUAGAUUUUCUUCUAUUGAUUUGAGACCCAAUUAAUACCAAUGUAAUAUAAGAUAAAAGUCCAAGUUAGCUUUUUACCGCCAUUUAAAAAAAAACAGUUAUCUCGAAAAGGAGCUCCAUGACAUGAUGACCUAUCGAUAUUUUAAGCUUGUUUUGUUCCUUAACAAACGCUUUUCGGCACAAUUUUAUGAAAUUUUGGAUCCUCAAUGCUCUUCAACUUUGUACUUGUUUGGCUUUAUAAAUAUUUUGAUAUGAGCGUCACUGAUGAGUCUUAUGCAGACGAAACGCGCGUCUGGCUUACUAAAUUAUAAUCCUGGUACCUUUGACAACUAUUAAGGUAUCAAUUUUAAAUUCUUGAUUUUUUAAAUUCCACAAACCCUCACCUAAGUACAUCCCUUAGCAGAAAUUGCUAUCAAGGCACUUCAUGCUGACGUCAAAAUGUAAAAAGCACCCAUUAUGUGGAAAUGCGGAAAAGUGGUAUCUAUAUAUGAUUUAUAAUGAGACAAAUAUCAAGCAGUCCAAAUGACAUGGAUAAAUAUCACAAACAUGAAUGCCAAAUUGAAAUGACACACCGUCACUGAACUAUUUCGAACAUUCAUAAUGGUUUCCUUUUAUCUGUUCGUUAUAUUAAUGUUGUAAGUAUUCUUUUACUAACGUGACUAAAGAAACUGCGAUGAUAGACUUUCAACAAUUCAUUAACCAUAUUGCAAGUAUUGUGUAACUUGAUAUACCACUCUUUAGUUAUCAUCCUGUAAGUAUUGUGUAACUUGACAUACCACUAUUUAGUAAUUAUCUUGUAAGUAUUGUGUAACUUGACAUACCACUCUUUAGUUAUCAUCCUGUAAGUAUUGUGUAACUUCACAUACCACUCUUUAUGUAUCAUCUUGUAAGUAUUGUGUAGCUUGACAUACAACACUUUAGUUAUCAUCCUGUAAGUAUUGUCUAACUUGACAUACAACACUUUAGUUAUCAUACUGUAAGUAUUGUGUAACUUGACAUACAACACUUUAGAUAUCAAUGGUAAUUAUUGUUAACUGGAUAUUUCACACUACACUGUUGUAUUUAUGACGUAAGUUUUGUAAAACUUGACAUACCAUACUUUUUUUUUAUUAAGUUUUAAGUUUUGUGAUACUUGACAUACCACAAUUUAGUUAUCACUUUGUAAGGAUUUUGCAACUUGAUAAAGCACUAUUAAGUUAUAAAGUGGUACGUAUUGUGUAACUUGAUAAAGCACAAUUUAGUUAUAAAGUGGUAAGUAUUGUGCAACUUGAUAAAGCACAAUUUAGUUAUAAAGUGGUAAGUAUUGUGUAACUUGAUAAAGCACAAUUUAGUUAUAAAGUGGUAACUAUUGUGUAUCCAUCAAGAGUCUUCUGAUCGAUAUAUUAAGAAAUGUUUCAAUGAUAUGUUUCAAUCUUCGUGAUACCACUAAAAAUGUUCACUGCGUUUACUCAUUCUUGUUACAUGAAAUCUCAAAUUCAGUAAUAGAUAUUGGUAUAUAUUGUUUAUUCUUUAAAACAAAAACAAAAAUUUAUCCAGAUCAAGUAUGAAUUACAGCCAUACAGAAAAUCAAAUAAAUAUUAUGGUUUAUUUUCUCAAUGUAAAGAAAAAAUAUUUACAAUUCACAAUACAUCUCAAAACGUUUUUAUUUAAAACACGAAAGUGAAAAAUAUUAGUGCCAAUGUAUUUCAAUACCAAUAACACAUAUUUUAUGUUGCAGAUCACCAUAGAAGCGUCUACAAGAACUGCUGAUGCUUGGUGGGGUGACAUUGCUAUUGAUGAUAUCACUCUCAAAUCUGGUACAUGCUAGUAAGUAUUAAUUUAUUAUUGUCGUCAUCAUGAAUAUUCAUGAGAUAUUUUCCUUUGAAUGUUAAGCUUAAACCAAUGGAUCAAUGUUUCCAUACCAUUUAAUAAAGAGAAAGAAAUAUGAUUACAUGAUGUUUCUUGUUUUUUUUCAAAUACAAUGUAUAAAAAAUGUAAAAACAACUCCGAUGUAAAUUAAAAAAAACGACAACCAUCCGAAGAAGUAUAAUACUUGAUGGAAAAAUGUCUUUAUGUUUUGCAUUUCUUCUAAAUUUAUUUUGCAUUGGAAACUUUGAUAUAUGUCUGUAGAGAUUUAUCAACAACAAUCGAGCGAACAAUCGAUUAAAAAUGUUAAAUACUUCCAAAUUGUCAUGGUAAAAAUAAGCCGAUACAAAAUUAUAUAUAAACAAGAUAAUAUGUACAAAAAUAUUCAUUUACAAUCGUUGAGAAAAUAUAUUUAUUCUUUGAUAACAUUAUUGGCACCAAUUGUACUGCAUCAGAUGCUUAUGUUCAUCGGUAAAUAUUUUGUGACUUUAAGUUAAAAUUCAAUUUGAAAAUGAAUCGUAGAUAAAUGCUUGAUAUCAAAUGUAUAACAUGUAUAAUUCGUUAAUCCCUGCCUGUGGUCGAUCACAUUAUGUUGAUAUGUUGAUGUCUUUUUGUUUCGUUUCUUUAAUUUGCCGUCUCAUAGAUGUAUACCUUACAUCGCGUUUAAUUCAUAUAUUAUUUGCAUUAUAUCAAUAAUACACAUUUCAUGAUAAGAACUUAUUACUUACUGAGACGUACUAACUUAUCAAGAUUGUCUCUGCGAUAGUUUUAAGUACACAAGUAACAUAUCCCAGCUAACCCAUUUAACAGAUAACUUUGAUAAAAUACACAGCUAUGUUUUCAAAACAUUUAUUGGGCAAUGCUGAUUACAAGUGAACAAUAAAUUACGUUUAUUUUAAAUGUGAAAAGUUUCGCUUUUUUAAUCUAUUUUUUUGAAAUAUUCCAUUAAGAUUGUUCAAUGAGUACAAUAAAGUUGACGUUUUUUUCUCUCGAAAUUAUAACAUUUAAAGUUUUAACAAAUCGAAUUGAGUGAUUGUUAAAGUAAUUAACAUGUUUAUCAUCGUUACUCUAUUUACAAAACAUGAGAUGGGUCUUAAUUUUACCCCUGCAGUAAAAAUCGACGGGUGUGUGAUAUUUCGACUAAAAGAAGGAAAAUAUGUUGUUGGUCCGUAUAUUCAGUUGCCUUAACAAAAUUUACUCAACCAUACUAAAUUUAUAUGCAUUACUGUAUUUAAAGGCAUGACAUGCAUUUGGUUUUGAACCUAAAGAGUUAAAAUAUGUUUACAUUGAAAUUCUAAAAAUAUCAAUAAAGGCAAAUCCAUAAAAAAACAUACCAAAUACCCAGAGAAGCAAUUCAAAAGUCCAACAAUGGGUUGGUGUUAAACAAGUUAUACAGUGAAAAGAUUUUUACCCCUUUUUCUUAGUGCAUUCCCUUGGUUUCAUGUACGUUUGAAUGAAACCUCCUUGAGUAGUUACAAGUAUAUCAAAACGUUUUACACAUUGAGUAAAUCACUUAACAAGCAUAAUUCGUCUCAUCAUAGACUAACACAACUAGAGUAAGAAUUAGGCUUGCGAUAUUUUUUAAGCCUAUAAGUUGGGUCAUCGGGUUUUAUGGGAAUGAUAAACACCUUCAACAAUUUGUAAAAAAUACUAAACGGUAAGUAACACUUGGUAUAACCACAUGAGUGUAUGCAGAAUAUGAACACAUGCUCUGUAAUUUCUAUUUGAAAGUGAAACAGUUCAAAAGAGACAAACAUACACGUGUCUUUUAUAAUCUACACAUAGAUAAAUAUUCUCUCUUCCGAUAUGACAGUCGUGAAUAAGACAUUUAUAUUCAUAAUAUAUUUGAAUAUCAGAAAUUCUCCGUAAAUAGAUAGGGGAAAUGUGUUAUAACUAUUUGUCUCUCUUUUUUAGAUCCUUUAGAGUGAACAGAAAACAGAAAAAAAACGAUGACAUUGAUUGUAGGAUAUUCAUUGUUGCUUGCUCAUUAUAAUGAUCAAGGUGAUAUUUAGUAACUAGUACUUUAUAAUGAACGUGUGAUAAUAACUGUUACUUUUUCAUUAUAAUGAGCAGAAUCUACAAUGAUAAAAAAAUAAAUAAAAAAAUAGC
rnacentral:lncRNA from 1 species